UUGGGUUUUUUUUCUGUUUUGAGACUCGAUCAAGACUCCACACAAUCCGGACAAAAAACAAUUUCAUUGGCAAAAACGUGUUUGGCCCCAAGAUAAAUGGAGCACGAAAGGCUUUGAGUCGGCAUUAAAAGUCCCCUAGCCGUCUGCAGUGGCGCCACCUGACGGGAGGAACAGGAGGUUCGGCAGGCAUAAAAAUUCAUUCGCCUAAUGGCUCGUCACUGCAGUCAGGGGCGGGGGCACGCCCUAUCCCAUUUGUGUUUGCACUUCUAUUGGCAACAUGUGGCGCUUUUAUUAAAAAUUCAUUUGCUCAUCAUGCACAAACAGCCGGAAGAGUAGAAAGAGACGGCUAGUGGUGGACGAAAGAGACGGAGAGAGAAAGAGACUGCACCGAUGUCUGACGAUGAUGAUAACGGUGAUGUCGGUUCAUCUUGGCGGCUUUGGCGCCCAACGCCCCCUGCCAACUCUUUUUGACCUUCAACAGCUGCCACAUAUUCAUGCGCAUUCCUUGCAGCCCCCGCCACGCCCCGCCACGCCCCUCACCUGUCUGUUUGGAGACCUUUUGGCCAAAGAAUUUUGACCCGCAUACGUCGAAAAAAGCCCGAAUGAUGGAUGGCUUAAAUCCCCACCGAGCCUUCAGCGAAUUUAAAUGGCAUCGGCUUUAAGGAAGCUGAUUUUUGAGGUGAAUAUUGAGAGCCAAGUACGUCGAUAGGAAGGUGAAGGCAUACGGGCUAACCAAACAUAGCUGUUUAAGAGCAGAUCUCCCCACCUUCUUUAUUUGUAUGACUUGGGUAACGAACAUGUAUCUGAAUCUACCGCCGAGCGUUCAUACCUGAAACUUUAAAUUAACUUGAAAUUAAAAUUCUGGACUUUAAACAGACUGGAGUGAAAAUAUGACUGCAUUUUGCUAGCCUUCAAGGUGCCAAAGCCGAACAGGGACCACAAUGUGGAAGUAAACCUACUGCCAAACAAACGACUCAUUAGAACGAUAAUGAACUGUAUUAACUUAACGACAUCUGAUAUGCGAUGAGUGGAGCAACACAUCGCCUAAUCUCUUCUGGCCAGUGGAAAACACAAAAAUUCUUUUCAAUGAUGGUCAGUCAAGUGAAUUUCUGCGUUCGUUUUGCCAGCUGCCGGGUUGUCCUCAUUCACUUCGAGCCAAAUGCUAAAUGAACUAGAAGCAAGGAAUUUCACACAAUGCGCAUCUAACAUCUAACCUUUGCCCCCUUUCGUCCCACAUGUGACUGACUGUUCAGCGGCGGGUCGGGAAAUCGAGGAGGAGGGGUCCAACAAAUAAACAGACACAACAACACCACCCACA
rnacentral:sRNA from 1 species